UGCUUAUCUUACUUGCCAAUUAGUGGGGGAUAACUCUGGUGCGCCAGAACUAAUACCGCAUUUGUUGCUUCGGCAAUGAAAGGGAAUCGCAAGAUUUUCGCUAAUUGAUAGGGAUAAGUCGUAUUAGUUUGUUGGUGGGGUAAUGGCCUACCAAGACGAUGAUGCGUAGCCGGGCUGAGAGGCUGAUCGGCCACAAGGGAACUGAGACACGGUCCCUACUCCUACGGGAGGCAGCAGUGAGGAAUUUUCGGCAAUGGGGGAAACCCUGACCGAGCAAUACUACGUGAAGGAGGAAGGUCUACGGAUUGUAAACUUCUGUUAGUGCGGAAGAAGGGCUGAAUGCAAGUUCAGCCUUGACGGUACGCACAGAGAAAGCCACGACUAACUACGUGCCAGCAGUCGCGGUAAGACGUAGGUGGCGAACGUUAUCCGGAAUUAUUGGGCGUAAAGGGUGCGUAGGCGGCGGAAUAAGUUAGUGGUGGAAAAUCGGGGCUCAACCUCGUGGAAGUCAUUAAUACUGUUUUGCUAGAGGACAGGAGAGGUUAACGGAAUUCCCUGUGGAGCGGUAAAAUGUGUAGAUAUAGGGAAGAACACCAAUAAGGCGAAGGCAGUUAACUAUUCUGUUCCUGACGUUGAGACACGAAAGCGUGGGGAGCAAAUAGGAUUAGAUACCCUAGUAGUCCACGCCCUAAACGAUGAGUGCUAGACAUUGGAAACUUGAUUUUCAGUGUCGCUAGAUAACUCGGUAAGCACUCCGCCUGGGUAGUACGCUCGCAAGAGUGAAACUCAAAGGAAUUGACGGGGACUCGCACAAGCACUGGAGCAUGUGGUUUAAUCCGAUGCAACGCGUAGAACCUUACCAAGGCUUGACAUGUUUGGCAAAACUGUGGAAACACAGCGGAGGUUAUCCAAACACAGGUGCUGCAUGGCCGUCGUCAGUUCGUGCCGUGAGGUGUAUGGUUAAGUCCUAUAACGAACGCAACCCUUGGGCUUAGUUGCCAGCAUUCAGUUGGGGACUCUAGGCCGACUGCCUGAGUAAUCAGGAGGAAGGAAAGGAUGACGUCUGAUCAU
rnacentral:rRNA from 1 species